rnacentral:rRNA from 1 species
GGUACCGUCACGAACCAAGCCUAUUCGACUUGGAACCAUUCUUCCCUUAGGACAGAUCUUUACACUCCUUAAAGCGUCAUCGGUCACGCGGCGUUGCUGCGUCAGACUUUCGUCCAUUGCGCAAUAUUCCCCA